rnacentral:rRNA from 1 species
CCUACGGGAGGCAGCAGUGGGGAAUUGUUCGCAAUGGGCGCAAGCCUGACGACGCAACGCCGCGUGGAGGAUGAAGACCUUCGGGUCGUAAACUCCUUUCGAUCGAGACGAAUUUCCCUGGGGUGAACAAUCCCGGGGAGUGACGGUACCGAGAGAAGAAGCCCCGGCUAACUCCGUGCCAGCAGCCGCGGUAAUACGGGGGGGGCAAGCGUUGUUCGGAAUUACUGGGCGUAAAGGGCUCGUAGGUGGCCAACUAAGUCAGACGUGAAAUCCCUCGGCUUAACCGGGGAACUGCGUCUGAUACUGGAUGGCUUGAGUCCGGGAGAGGGAUGCGGAAUUCCAGGUGUAGCGGUGAAAUGCGUAGAUAUCUGGAGGAACACCGGUGGCGAAGGCGGCAUCCUGGACCGGCACUGACACUGAGGAGCGAAAGCCAGGGGAGCAAACGGGAUUAGAUACCCUAGUAGUC